GAUGAACGCUGGCGGCGUGCCUAAUACAUGCAAGUCGAGCGAACAGACGAGGAGCUUGCUCCUCUGACGUUAGCGGCGGACGGGUGAGUAACACGUGGAUAACCUACCUAUAAGACUGGGAUAACUUCGGGAAACCGGAGCUAAUACCGGAUAAUAUAUUGAACCGCAUGGUUCAAUAGUGAAAGACGGUUUUGCUGUCACUUAUAGAUGGAUCCGCGCCGCAUUAGCUAGUUGGUAAGGUAACGGCUUACCAAGGCAACGAUGCGUAGCCGACCUGAGAGGGUGAUCGGCCACACUGGAACUGAGACACGGUCCAGACUCCUACGGGAGGCAGCAGUAGGGAAUCUUCCGCAAUGGGCGAAAGCUUGACGGAGCAACGCCGCGUGAGUGAUGAAGGUCUUCGGAUCGUAAAACUCUGUUAUUAGGGAAGAACAAAUGUGUAAGUAACUAUGCACGUCUUGACGGUACCUAAUCAGAAAGCCACGGCUAACUACGUGCCAGCAGCCGCGGUAAUACGUAGGUGGCAAGCGUUAUCCGGAAUUAUUGGGCGUAAAGCGCGC
rnacentral:rRNA from 1 species